ACUGUGUGCCACUUAUCAUUUAAAUGGGUAGGUACUUGGUUUUGAUCUCCUGCUGAUAUUAACCAAAGUGGUUGUUAUUUCCAUGUAUGGAAUUCUGCUAUAUUAAGGGGUGCUUGAGACUUUGUGAAUUAUAGACAAGUUUUAUAUAAUGUUGAUAAUUCCUACAUAUGCUAACUUAGAGGGAAAGGGGACGAAAAAGGAGGAUAAAGAGAAGGUGAUAAAUAUGGUUUUAAAGAGAACAAGAAAACCACAAGGGAAAAAGAUCAUCACCACCUUCGAAUAGCUAAGUAGGAAAGAUAAAUUUGGUUUUCUUCCCCCUCUCACUGCUGUGUAUGUUCCACUUCCUUUACAAAUGACCAAAAUUUAAAUGGACUCAGACUUUGAAAAAAGCAAAAUCCAGAUAAAAUAGCGUUUAUACAACUACUUAGAUUCAACUUGAUAUUCCACACUAUAUACAGCUAAUUGUACCUCCAUAGAAUCUAUGACUCUAAAAUCAGCACAUCUUGCUUUUCGGCCGGAACUGCCAUCUUCCAGUAAUUUGCUAAAAUGACCAACACAAAGGGAAAGAGAAGGGGCACCCACUACAUGUUCUCUAGGCCUUUUAUAAAACAUGGAGUUGUUCCUUUGGCCACAUACAUGCGAAUCUACAAGAAGGGAGAUAUUGUAGAUAUCAAGGGAAUGGGUACUGUUCAAAAAGGAAUGCCCCACAAAUGUUACCAUGGCAAAACUGGGAGAGUCUACAAUGUUACCCAGCAUGCUGUUGGCAUCAUUGUAAACAAACAAGUUAAGGGCAAGAUACUUGCCAAGAGAAUUAAUGUGCGUAUGGAGCAUAUUAAGCACUCUAAGAGCCGAGAUAGCUUCCUAAAACGUGUGAAGGAAAAUGAUCAGAAAAAGAAGGAAGCCAAAGAGAAAGGGGCUUGGGUUCAGCUGAAGCGCCAGCCUGCUCCACCCAGAGAAGCACACUUUGUGAGGACCAAUGGAAAGGAACCUGAACUGUUGGAACCCAUUCCCUAUGAAUUCAUGGCCUGAAGGGUGUAAAAAUAAAGACCUGGACUGUACAAAUGUUUCUCUUAAUUGA